rnacentral:rRNA from 1 species
ACAGAGGGGGCAAGCGUUGCUCGGAAUUACUGGGCGUAAAGGGCGCGUAGGCGGGAUGGUAAGUCGGUCGUGAAAUCCCUCGGCUCAACCGAGGAACGUCGAUCGAUACUACCGUUCUUGAGGAUUGCAGAGGAGACUGGAAUUCCCGGUGUAGCGGUGAAAUGUGUAGAGAUCGGGAGGAACACCGGUGGCGAAGGCGGGUCUCUGGGCAUUACCUGACGCUGAGGAGCGAAAGCAUGGGGAGCGAACAGGA